AUAACCAUUCAACACUUUGUGGAAGAAACGGCCCGCUGCACCUCGCUGGGACUCGAAGCAUCUUGAGCGUGAUUGUGUUUGUUUAUUUAUUGUGUUGUGAAGCGCGCAGCGGUUUGAUUUAAUGUGUGUAUUCAUUUCUUUUUAGCAGCACCCUGACGGAGACGCGUGCGUCGCGCGGCUUCCACUCGCCGGGAACAGUUGGGGGUUUUAUGGAGGGCAGUCUGGCUGUUUGGACAGACUUCUUCCAGGAGGAGCGGAAGGACUGAUCGGCUUCCCGGAGCCGCAGUGUAAUUAAAAGCGGAUAUUUAGGUGCAGGUGGGUGAACAGAGCGAGAUUAGGCGAGGGGCGGGGCUAGUGUUGACAGUGGCACGCUUUAAUGAGUCCUGGCUGGAGUCCAGCUCCGUUUCCCGCACGGAGCAUCAGCAGGUUUCAUCCUAGUUUGGACGGAACCGCUCCAGAGCCGGUGCGCGCGUUUCCUGCCGCUCACAGGGGAAUGAACCAUAGACCCCCCGCUGAGAGAAAAGGGGAAAGUCGCUGAGUGAUGCAUUCAGCCGCUCUGAAGGCGUAACUGGGCCGAUUCCUCCAGGGUCCAACUGGACCCGCCAGACGUGGGAAUGUGCACGGCCGAGUCCAAAGUGGGGGUUUCUAUCAAACACGAGGGCCACUGACGGAGACAGAGACAGAAAAUCAAAGACAGCCAUCGCCUGCUGAAACACACUGCAGCGGGAACGAGUCAAAGCAGAGUCAAGUCAAUCGCACGCAGUUAAUUAUUCAUCCAAUAGCGUCGUCCUUCUUCUUGGAGAGUGCGAUGAGCUGGAUCCUUAAGACGAGGAGUCUGUUGGGUCACACCGCCUCCAGGGAGCAUCCAGCGCAAACUGGCUUUGUGUUCUUCAGUUUCCAUUAUUGUGGACUCCUUUAUAUCAGGUUUUUGAUUUUUGAUGCAGCAGCAGUUCUGCUGAACUAUCUGUGUUUUUAUUUUGGUUCCAAAAUGUGCUUUUGUUAGUUUCAACAUUUCACUAUCUGAGAUGAUUAAUAAUUCAAAUGACAUUAAUCUGGCCCCGUGUGAGGGUUCAAGGUUUAAGGACACACAAACAAGUAGAACAAUGUACCCGUUCAGUGUCCUAGUGCGUUUCCUUUUGGACCAUAAUUAGAAAUAUUAAAUGAAGGUUAAUUGGAGUGCGGCUCCUGCAUUCGAGGUUGUGGUGCAGCUGCUCAGUGCCACAGCUGCUUUGUGCUGCAGAGGACGACAUAUUGUGUAGUUUUAUGAGCAAUUAAGAGUUUGCUGUUGUUUAAUGAGUUUAAAGCUACAGAUUGUCCAACUGUGUGAAUAAAUAUAAAUAUAAUGCAUUAUAAUAAUGUCUA
rnacentral:lncRNA from 1 species